GGCUCAGAUUGAACGCUGGCGGCAGGCCUAACACAUGCAAGUCGAACGGAACCUUCGGGUUUAGUGGCGAACGGGUGAGUAAUGCCUAGGAAUCUGCCUAUUAGUGGGGGAUAACGAAUCGAAAGGUUCGCUAAUACCGCAUACGUCCUACGGGAGAAAAGAGGGGGAUCUUCGGACCUCUUGCUAAUAGAUGAGCCUAGGUCGGAUUAGCUAGUUGGUGAGGUAAAGGCUCACCAAGGCGACGAUCUGUAGCUGGUCUGAGAGGAUGGCCAGCCACACUGGAACUGAGACACGGUCCAGACUCCUACGGGAGGCAGCAGUGGGGAAUAUUGGACAAUGGGCGCAAGCCUGAUCCAGCCAUGCCGCGUGUGUGAAGAAGGCCCUCGGGUUGUAAAGCACUUUAAGCGAGGAGGAAGGUCAUCAUACUAAUAUUAUGAUGAAUUGACGUUACUCGCAGAAUAAGCACCGGCUAACUCUGUGCCAGCAGCCGCGGUAAUACAGA
rnacentral:rRNA from 1 species